rnacentral:rRNA from 1 species
UACAGAGGUGGCAAGCGUUGUUCGGAAUUACUGGGCGUAAAGGGCGCGUAGGCGGCCUUCUAAGUCAGACGUGAAAUCCCCCGGCUUAACCUGGGAACUGCGUCUGAUACUGGGAGGCUAGAGUAUGGGAGAGGGAUGUAGAAUUCCAGGUGUAGCGGUGAAAUGCGUAGAUAUGUGGAGGAACACCGAUGGCGAAGGCAGCCCCCUGGGUUAACACUGACGCUCAUGCACGAAAGCGUGGGGAGCAAACAGG